AAUUUUUUUCUCUUUCUGUAUUCAAGAAAAAGAAAAACAAAAAAAAGAAAAAAAAAGAAAAUUGAAUAGAUGGGUCAGUUAACACACUGAAAUACGAUUUAAAUUACAUCGUUUUCCCCUAGAAGUCAACCUUUGAAGUACUUUAUAGUCCAUAAACUAAGCAGGCAAAGAGACCUGUGUUCCUGAAGAACGAGCUUGGCCCCGCUAGGCAGGGCUUAGUGUAAUGUCUCCGUUUUCCACUAGAUGGCGCUGCUUAGCUUACCGGAGUGCGUUGUUGUGGCGCUUGUAGGUGUGUGCGCAUGCACCAGAGGGUUGAAAAUGGCGUAACCCAGCUACCGGCCUCUAGUGUCAGACUCUGUUUUCCCUGCUCAGCAUUGGCACACCUGUCCUUUGUCUGUGGCUUCUGUCCUUCCCGCUUUUACACUGUCCGUGACCAAGCCGUCAGGUUGCCAGGCAGCACCUCCUUCCUGAGUUUUAUCUCAGAUGCGGCUGUUUUUCCUGACCCCUCACUUCUGAGGGACUGUGGUUUUGACCCGCUCAGACCUUCUGGAGGAGGGUCUCACCGAGCAAUGGCUGGGUGCCCCCGGGCCCCCAGAAGCACUCGUGGGACUGCGCUACUGCCGAUGCCAGAGACUGUGGUUGGGUGCAAGCCCACUCCAGAAAAAGUUCACACUAUCGUGUAGCAGCAGCGUUUCAGGGAUUAUGGCAAAUCACAACACACAUCUGGCUCCAGGCUUUACUCUUAACAACCUUGUUCCAGCACGAGCAGGUGUGGUUGUUCUCCAGGAUCCACUGGGACUUUUGCCUGUGGAGAGUCCUACCAGCAGGGGAACCGCCUUUCACCAUGUGGCCCAAAGACCUCCUGGACUUCACUCUGCUCCUGGGGAUUCGCCUUUCCCACCAGCAUAGCCAGAAACCAUGUCAUAACCAGAGGCUGGGUCCUCAGGCCAGGCUCUUGGAGUAAAGCUUCCUGCUCAAGGUCACACAGCUCACAUUACCUGAGCAGAAACAGGAAUAAAUGGACAAAAAUAGACUCUCAUGGACCCUGAGUUCUACCCAGUCACUGGCAACAACUUCAGUCUCCCUUGAACUCUGGGCUGUAAGCCACUUCUCAGACUUCCUUAGGAUUGCAGUCUACCAUUGGUGGAAUACCUUUCAAUAUUCUUCCUGAAGCAAGGAGCACUCACCUCACCAGCAGGAGUCAUGGGAACGGACUGGCAGCUGCCCAUAACCCGUGCAAGCGUAUCUAUGAGCUUCGCAAACAGGGGAAAACAUUUCAGCAUGUUUUGGGGUGACUAUCCUCCCAUGGGCACAGGAAAGACUGCCCUAAGCAGUGAUACACAUGUUUGCUUCUCCUUCCCUCCCAUCAGCUGUCACUUGUGCUGUCAGAGUGCCUGCCACUAACACUCUCUGGACUUGCAAUUUGCUGUUUCUAAUCCGUCAUCUGAGAAAUCAGAUGACCAGAGCUGUUAGAACAGUGUGUAAAUUGAGAGCCAGCCUCUGUGAGAGAUAGCCAGAGACCCUCUCCUUGAGGAGAGCAUCAGCAGGUUUCCUGGCAGCCAUUUCUUUUCUUCUUGGACCUUUCCUUAUCUAAUUCCCUGUUUGACAGUCUCAAAAAGCUGACCCACUUCUGCAAGAGGUGUUGCUGUGUACAGUACAGUGGGAAACAAACCAAAAGAGACACACAUCCUAGUGCAUGUGCCCUAUACCUAGUAAGGGGAUCUUCAGACUCAAAAAAAUCUCUCUGCAUUCCAUCUCCUCACUGGCAAAAUGGGUAUAAACAUACAGAGUUAACAUGGCAUAAUGGAUUAAAAAUUAUAAGCUGCUUUAGAAUGAGAUAUUAUGAAAAUCAUGAUCUUUAAAAAGAACUAUCAUCAUUCUUAGAAGUCUAUAAAGCACACUGCAGGGCAAAUCCAGCCUGCUACCUGCUUUUGUAAAUAAAGUUUUAUUGGAACACA